AUGGAAAAAAUCAAGAUUCCUACUUUUGUCCCAGGAGAUUUCAAAUUUAUGAACAAAGCCAGAGCACUUCAUGAAUACCUAUUCAGCAAAGAAGGACAGGACGAAUGCAGAGAUCUAAACGUAUAUAUUAGCUCGAAGCGACCCGAUUGGAUUACAGGAAAACAAAUAAUGGAACAGCUACAGAAAGGAGAUCAUGGACAGAUGGAGGGCUCCAUCGCAAACACAUUGUUCGAAGAAUGGACAGUGCAGCAACAAUACAACACAACCGAUAAAGCCAUACUUCCCGCAGAAUUUGCAAACAUCGUGCUCGGUGUUAACUGGAGAAGAAGAAGGACUAGCAGAAUUCAAUGA
rnacentral:rRNA from 1 species